UACAGAGGUCCCAAGCGUUGUUCGGAUUCAUUGGGCGUAAAGGGUGCGUAGGCGGCGCGGUAAGUCGGGUGUGAAAUCUCGGGGCUUAACUCCGAAACUGCAUUCGAUACUGCCGUGCUUGAGGACUGGAGAGGAGACUGGAAUUUACGGUGUAGCGGUGAAAUGCGUAGAUAUCGUAAGGAAGACCAGUGGCGAAGGCGGGUCUCUAGUACGGUACUGACGCUGAGACGCGAAAGCGUGGGGAGCGAACAGG
rnacentral:rRNA from 1 species